AGUUUACAGUGGCUGACACGUGGGCCGACAUCUCCGCAUCCCCACACUCUUUUCUCCGUCCUCCUCUUCCAGGCUCGGCGGCUGGACCCUCGCCGUGGCCUCCUCCGUCGCGGCCUCGAUCGAAACCGAAAAAGAUCGCCCAGUACCAACGAAGUGGAAGGACAAAGCCGUCGUCAGUGUCGUGUUUUGCGGCUCGUCGUCGUUCACGGAUUCGAGGUCUUAUGCUUCGAUUUGAUUUCUUGCAUUAGGAAGUGAAGAUUGUUAUGCAAGUGUCUGAACUUUUCAAGUGGAUUGGUCUUAUGCUUCGAUUUGGUUUGUUACAUGAGGAAGCGAAGAACCGUGAUUGCCGCAUGUGUCUGAACAUUUCAAGUGGAUUGGUAAAUAUGGAGCUGUAUUGGCAUCUCCACCAGCAAACAAUGGGAGAGACUACGCGAGCUACCAAAUGCACGCCAACAUACAGCUGAAAACAAUUUCGAUUCUUCCCGGGGCGCUAGUGCUUGCCUGACAAUCAGAAGAUGCAGAGUUGCAGACAGAUUGUGUCACACAUUCUUAAUCUGCAUAAAGUUCUGCUUCAAGUACAUAGUCAGGCAUCAGUGCAAGAGCUACUCAGCUGGUUUGAAGCAAACGGAUGCCUACAUUAGAGCAGUGACAUCCGUUGUGUAGGCGGUGGGACAGAGGCCGGCUAAGCAGCAUGCUGGAUGGUCUAGAGGUGGUCGGCUGGCAGAUCGUAGGGCCUGUUUGGUUUGCUUCCUCAAAAGAACGUUAGAUUUCUCAAGCCUAACAUUGAAAUUACUGCCUGGCUAAGUAGCAUUUUCGCUUGUGUGGGAGUAGGGCAUUUUGGAGACCGAGCUCCAUGGAGCCCUUUACUUUGAAAAAUUCAAAAUUCAUAAAUUUCAGUUCAAAAAAUUCUGAAAAAAAAUUACACAUGUAUGCAAGGAUGUAAAGUGUAUGUGUGAAAAAUUUCAGGAUGAAAUACCUUGAAUUGCGAACUGCACAAAAAAAAACAAAGUCAUAGACUUUAAAGAUGAACAGUACCUAUGCUAAAAAGCCUCAGAUUUGUCUUUUUGUGUAGCUCAUGUUUUA